UACGAGGGGGGCAAGCGUUGUUCGGAAUUAUUGGGCGUAAAGGGUGCGUAGGCGGUUUUGUAAGUCUUGUGUGAAAUCUUCAGGCUCAACUUGAAGACUGCACGAGAAACUGCAGGGCUUGAGUGUGGGAGAGGUGAGUGGAAUUCCCGGUGUAGCGGUGAAAUGCGCAGAUAUCGGGAGGAACACCAAUGGCGAAGGCAGCUUGCUGGGACGGUACUGACGCUGAGGCGCGAAAGCGUGGGGAGCAAACAGG
rnacentral:rRNA from 1 species